UAACAUAUGCUUGUCUCAAAGAUUAAGCCAUGCAUGUGUGCGAAAAACCAUAGUUUUUUCGGCGAUUCUGCGUACAGCUCAUUAAAUCAGUUAUAAUUUCUGUGAGGAUCGAAGUUUGAUUACUUAUACGGAUAACCGGAGUAAUUCUCGAGCUAAUACGUGCGUAGGGGGUUGGUUGGUUGUAAAAGGCUGGCUGAUCUGUGCUGAUUAGAUUCGGUGUAGUUGUGGCAUCUUGUAUCAAGAUGAGACGACUCAUAGUCAUCGUUCGGAUCUGUGU
rnacentral:rRNA from 1 species